rnacentral:pre_miRNA from 9 species
UCUCGAUAGCGUAAAAGUUAACUCGAUUUUGUAUGGAGUAGGAACGUUUACUUAGGUUUGCCGCUAGGGGCGCUGAUUCAACUGCAUACAUAUUUGAGUUAACUUUUACGCUAUCGA